UACGUAGGGUGCGAGCGUUGUCCGGAAUUAUUGGGCGUAAAGAGCUCGUAGGCGGUGUGUCACGUCGUUCGUGAAAACCUGCAGCUUAACUGUGGGCGUGCGGUCGAUACGGGCAUCACUGGAGUUCGGCAGGGGAGACUGGAAUUCCCGGUGUAGCGGUGAAAUGCGCAGAUAUCGGGAAGAACACCCGUGGCGAAGGCGGCUCUCUGGGACGGUACUGACGCUGAGACGCGAAAGCGUGGGGAGCGAACCGGG
rnacentral:rRNA from 1 species